AUUAAAACACCAGUUCCUGUAUGAUCACCAAAGUUAAGCAACAUCAAGCCUGGUCAGUACCUAGAUGGUUGACCACUUGGCAACACCAGGUGCUGUAAG